rnacentral:miRNA from 2 species
UAAAUGCAUUAUCUGGUAUGUGA